rnacentral:rRNA from 1 species
UACGUAGGGUGCAAGCGUUGUCCGGAAUUAUUGGGCGUAAAGAGCUCGUAGGCGGUUUGUCGCGUCUGCUGUGAAAACGCGAGGCUCAACCUCGCGCCUGCAGUGGGUACGGGCAGACUAGAGUGUGGUAGGGGAGAUUGGAAUUCCUGGUGUAGCGGUGGAAUGCGCAGAUAUCAGGAGGAACACCGAUGGCGAAGGCACUCUACUGGGCCACUACUGACACUGAGAGACGAAAGCUAGGGGGAGCAAAUGGG